CUCAUACCAACCUCAGGAAAUGUAUAAGCAAAUAUUUGGGGAAGACAAGAAAAUAUAUCUAGAGUCGUUUCACAUUCAUCAUUAAUUUCUAUUCUCCCAUUCCAAUUCAUCUCAUCUUCAAUGUCACCCUUCAAUUUUCCAGGUAAUCAAUUAAAGUUUAUGCUGAUUUCUCUCUUUCGCGUUUCAAUUUCAAUCCCGGUUCAAGAUAAAAAAUAACAACAACAAAACACUCGAAUCAAAUCUCUACAUGAUCUCUCGCUCAUUCUCAAUCCUCAAACGCAUGGAUUCAACAAUCAAGAGCAAAGAAGAAACGAACCCUAAACCCAUCAAAUCCUAUACCCCAUAUUUGAUAUACAUGGUGAAAAAAUGAAGAUGCAACAACAACUUACAAACAAAAGAUAAAAACGAAUUCGAAAAGGGUCGGGUACGUGGAAUGGUUGAUCUUCUAUUCUCAAAUCCUCUUCUUGUUUAGGUUGCGGGAGUUCAAAGCGGUUUAGUGAAGGUGCUGAUGAUUUGCGGUUAUGGUUUGUGAUGAGAGCAAGCCUGUAGUAACAUUGACAGGGAAGAAAAGGAUGUGAAUUAAAUGGUUUUUUUCGAAGUUUGUUCUUAUCAAGGUUUUGGUUGGUCUGAUUUAGGUGAAUGAUAUUGAAUUUUGAUUAAUGAGUUUAGUUUUGUUUAUUAUGGUUUACAGUAUUUUAUAGAUAUGGUGUAACGGAGAAAGCUCAUGAUUUUGGCCUGUUGAUGACAGCAGAAAGCUCAAGAAAGGCAUUGAAGAGUUCUACAGGUUGAACACAAUUUUUAACAUAAGCUACUCAAAAUAGCUUCACAUUUCAAAAUAGCUUAACAUUUGAGACGAUUUUUAAAGAUUUCUGAUGGAGUCCAAGUAUCUGAAUGGAGAUUCAGGUAAUGAUUUUGAUCAUUUUCAGGUAAUGAUUUUGGUCCCGAUGUUUGCGCAUAAUGGAAUCUCAGGUAAUGAUUUUGAUCAUUUUCAUUAGAAUAGAACAAUUCUAUGUAAAUGUUGCAGAGAUUGUGAAACAUAACUAAUGGAAAAACAACAAUAAAUAUUAUAUAGUAUAAAUCACUUUAUUUGAAAUUAAUGUAGCUGUCAUUUUAGUAUUGAUUAAUUUAUCAAAGUUUAAUCUCUCCGAUUUUGAUUGAUUUCUGUAACUUAAUAUUUAUUUUGUCCAGAUUCUUUAAAUGGACACUUAUUCUCCAUACAUUAUUCUCAAAGAGUUGUGUAUUUAAGUAUGUGGAUAAGGACUUUAUGCUAUCACCGACUUAAUCUUCUGGAACAAGUAAUUAUAAUUUUAAGUUUCUGAGUAUGUCUAAGAAAGUAUAGGAUAUGCAUAUACUUUAAUCACAGGAAAAAUUAGUUGCUUUGGCAGUUUUUGUAUGUACUCGAUAAUUCAUUCUUCAUUUGAUGCUAAACGUGGAUAAGGAAUGUCUCGCCCAAAAGAGUGAUCUUCAUCGAGACUUUUUCAAUGUUAGGAAAGUUGAUACUCAUGUCCACCUCUCAGCAUGCAUGAAUCAGAAGCAUCUUUUAAGGUUUAUAAAUUCUAAGCUUAGGAUUGAACUAGGCGAGAGCUUGCGAUUUUCACGGUGAAAGAAAUGGAUUUGGCUUUGGCGGCUGAUCUGUUAUCACUUCAAAGACUCCCGGUUAUUGUUGGUUUCGGCUACGCAGUGGUGUUGGCUUUGACGGCCAGCAGGUACACUCCAACAGGAUGGAUCUGUUAAAGUUGCCUUAUAUAAUAAUGCAGUUUCUACCUUAUUGCUAUAGCAUCACUAAAGAAAAGGAGUAAGAAGAGAUGGUAAAUAAUUAUAUCUAGGAAUGAAUUCGUAGAAUUAUAAUUUCUCUAAACGAAAAAGGGAUUUUGAAGAAAAUGAGGCAAAAUUGAAAGACAAAGGAGUUAAAUCAUAAUAGUGUAGCAUAUACUAUUUGUAUCUGUAUCAUAAGAUUGUAAAUUUUAAUAUGUUGCAUCAGAACAUUUGGAGUAACCAUGAAACUAAUUCCAAAUAGAUUAUGGAAAUGAUGUAUAUUUUUUU